AUGCACGCUGGCGGCGUGCCUAAUACAUGCAAGUCGAGCGAACGGACGAGAAGCUUGCUUUUCUGAUGUUAGCGGCGGACGGGUGAGUAACACGUGGAUAACCUACCUAUAAGACUGGGAUAACUUCGGGAAACCGGAGCUAAUACCGGAUAAUAUUUUGAACCGCAUGGUUCAAAAGUGAAAGACGGUCUUGCUGUCACUUAUAGAUGGAUCCGCGCUGCAUUAGCUAGUUGGUAAGGGAACGGCUUACCAAGGCAACGAUGCAUAGCCGACCUGAGAGGGUGAUCGGCCACACUGGAACUGAGACACGGUCCAGACUCCUACGGGAGGCAGCAGUAGGGAAUCUUCCGCAAUGGGCGAAAGCCUGACGGAGCAACGCCGCGUGAGUGAUGAAGGUCUUCGGAUCGUAAAACUCUGUUAUUAGGGAAGAACAUAUGUGUAAGUAACUGUGCACAUCUUGACGGUACCUAAUCAGAAAGCCACGGCUAACUACGUG
rnacentral:rRNA from 1 species